rnacentral:rRNA from 1 species
AAGUCGUAACAAGGUCUCCGUUGGUGAACCAGCGGAGGGAUCAUUACCGAGUUUACAACUCCCAAACCCCUGUGAACAUACCACUUGUUGCCUCGGCGGAUCAGCCCGCUCCCGGUAAAACGGGACGGCCCGCCAGAGGACCCCUAAACUCUGUUUCUAUAUGUAACUUCUGAGUAAAACCAUAAAUAAAUCAAAACUUUCAACAACGGAUCUCUUGGUUCUGGCAUCGAUGAAGAACGCAGCAAAAUGCGAUAAGUAAUGUGAAUUGCAGAAUUCAGUGAAUCAUCGAAUCUUUGAACGCACAUUGCGCCCGCCAGUAUUCUGGCGGGCAUGCCUGUUCGAGCGUCAUUUCAACCCUCAAGCCCUCGGGUUUGGUGUUGGGGAUCGGCGAGCCCUUGCGGCAAGCCGGCCCCGAAAUCUAGUGGCGGUCUCGCUGCAGCCUCCAUUGCGUAGUAGUAAAACCCUCGCAACUGGAACGCGGCGCGGCCAAGCCGUUAAACCCCCAACUUCUGAAUGUUGACCUCGGAUCAGGUAGGAAUACCCGCUGAACUUAA